UACGAGGGGGGCGAGCGUUGUUCGGAAUUAUUGGGCGUAAAGGGUGCGUAGGCGGUUUGGUAAGUCUGAUGUGAAAUCUAUGGGCUCAACUCAUAGUCUGCAUCGGAAACUGCCGGGCUUGAGUGUGGGAGAGGUGAGUGGAAUUCCUGGUGUAGCGGUGAAAUGCGUAGAUAUCAGGAGGAACACCUGUGGCGAAAGCGGCUCACUGGACCAUAACUGACGCUGAUGCACGAAAGCCUAGGGGAGCAAACAGG
rnacentral:rRNA from 1 species